GGAAUAUAUAUCUGUGGAGAGUCCAGGGUGUGACAAGAAUCCUUUGUCAGUUGGAAGCCAGCAUUAAUGUUUCAGUUAAUCACCCUAAUUAACAUUGGAAAGGUUUGCCUCUUGCCUGGGGGGCAUCCUUUGUUCCGUCAUUAGCCAUCCUUGGGGCUCCUCUGCCCUCAGAGUGUUGCUUCCCAUCUACUGUUUUGAUUUUAGAGUUUUUUAAUACUGGUAGCCAGAUUUUGUUCAUUUUCAUGGUUUCCUCCUCUCUGUUGAAGUUGUCCACAUGCUUGUGGAUUUCAAUGGCUUCUCUGUGUAGUCUGACAUGAUAGUUGUUGGAGUGGUCCAGCAUUUCUGUGUUCUCAAAUAAUAUACUGUUUCCAGAUUGGUUCAUCAGGUGCUCUGCUAUGGCUGAUUUCUCUGGUUGAGUGAGUCUGCAGUGCCUUUCAUGUUCUUUGACUCGUGUUUGUGCGCUGUGUUUGGUGGUCCCUAUGUAGACUUGUCCGCAGCUGCAUGGUAUCCGGUAGACUCCUGCAGAGGAGAGAGGAUCCCUCUUGUCUUUCGUUGACCGUAGCAUUUGUUGGAUUUUCUUUGUGGGUCUGUGGAUAGUUUGUAGGUUGUGCUUCUUCAUCAGUUUGCCUAUGCGGUCAGUGGUUCCCUUGAUGUCUGGUAAGAACACCUUUCCUCUGGGUGGAUCUUUGUCUUGACUCUCGUGGCUUAUUCUUGGCCUUACAGCUCUUCUGAUGUCUUGGAAGUCCCUGAACAGACUCAGAAGUGGAGUGGGCAGAUCAAAAGACAAUCUGUGUAAAUGGCACUUCCUAGAGCAGCCGGCUGUUAGGAAUUGUGGGAGUUGGAGUCCAAAACACCUGGAGGGCCAAAGUUUGCCCAUGCCUGACCUAGAAGAAUCCUCCACCUUGUGCAACUGUUCAGCAGAAUAAAUAACUCCGCAUCUGGGUUGCUGUGAGUUUUCCGGGCUGCAUGGCGGUGUUCUAGAAACAUUCAUAGAAUCAUAGAAUAGUAGAGUUGGAAGAGACCUCAUGGGCCAUCCAGUCCAACCCCCUGCCAAGAAGCAGGAAAUCACAUUCAAAGCUCCCCGACAGAUGGCCAUCCAGCCUCUGCUUAAAAGCUUCCAAAGAAGGAGCCUCCACCACAGUUCGGGGCAGAGAGUUCCACUGCCGAACAGCCCUCACAGUGAGGAAGUUCUUCCUGAUGUUCAGGUGGAAUCUCCUUUCCUGUAGUUUGAAGCCAUUGUUCCGCGUCCUAGUCUGCAGGGCAGCAGAAAACAAGCUUGCUCCCUCCUCCCUAUGACUUCCCUUCACGUAUUUGUACAUGGCUAUCAUGUCUCCUCUCAGCCUUCUCUUCUGCAAGGUAAACAUGCCUAGUUCUUUAAGCCGCUCCUCAUAGGGCUUGUUCUCCAGACCCUUGAUCAUUUUAGUUGCCCUCCUCUGGACGCUUUCCAGCUUGUCAACAUCUCCCUUCAAUUGCGGUGCUCAGAAUUGGACAUAGUCAUUCUCUCCUGAUGUUUCGCCCACAUCUACAGCAGGCAUCCUAAGAGGUUGUGAGGUUUGAGGGUGUUAGGGGUUCAAUUUUCAGUUUAAAAAAAAAACCCUGGUUUACUCAUGAAUUUUAACUAGUUAACCAAAUCCCCAUGCUAAGUCUAUGAGAUUCAAAAAAUUGAGUCCCUCCAGACACUAUCUCAAGCAGAUAUUGACAGGUCUGUAGAUGCAGGGGGUGGUCUAGGGGUUCAACCCCCCCCCCCGAAGUUUUCUAAACCCACCCCAUUUUUUUUUCUGGCUACAUCCCUGUGUCCACAUGCUUGUGGAUUUCAGUGGCUUCUCUGUGUAGUCUGACAUUGUGGUUGUCCAUCAUUUGUAUGUUCUCAAAUAAUAUGCUGUGUCCAGGUUGGUAAAUAAAGAAUAACACUCUGAAAACAGGGGCAUUCCAGACAGGAAACAAUCAUGGCCAGCAAACAUCUCCCAACAAAGGAUUCUCCCAGGCAGGAAGCAGCCACGCUUUGAAGCUUCAAGGCCAUUCAAUGCUAAUCAAGGUGGCCAAUUGCAACAUUCACACUCGCCUCCUGCAGACAAGAGUUCUUUCUCCUAUCCUGGACAAUCCACAAAUAUAUAAACCCCGCUUGCCUAGUUUCCAAUAGACCUCACAACCUCUGAGGAUGCCUACCACAGAUGUGGGCAAAACGUCAGGAGAUAAUGCUUCUGGGACAUGGCCAUACAGCACAAAAAAUUCACACCAACCCAAUGUUGUUAACGACAGCAAGGCUUUUGAUAACAAAAAAAUUGGAAAGGAGGGAUAGAAAUUCAGAUAGAAGAAUGAUAUAAGGAAAUAUGGAAAUUAGCAAUAAAUUAUAAAUUAACAUGUAAUUUAAAGGAUAAAAAAGGCCUAAAGAAAAAUAAUGAUUUUGAAAACAUUUGGAAAAAAGUUACUGAAGUAACAUUGAGAAAAGAAGAUGGGAAGCAACCUGCACCAGAAGAAAUGGAGUUCUGGUGAAACCACAAAGAAGAGGACUCCGGAGAUGAGGAGCACAAUGAGGGAAAUGAGAAGAAAUAAAUAUAUGAAUGAUAGAGAUUGUACUUUGUAAUGAAAUGGAAUGAAAAUGUAAUAAAAUUAUUGGUAUUAAUAAUAAUAAAAAGAAUAGGGUUCUACAGUCACCUACGGACCCACUGCCAAGGCACACUUGGAAGACACUCAUACUCAGACAGGAGUGAUUGCUGAUGAUUAUGAUGACAAAAAGUGAUUGGUUUGGGGGGGCGCCAAAAUUCUGUUCGCCUACACUUGAAAAAUACCUAGGGCCGGCUCUGGUCAGGGUGAGCUCUCACCGUCAGCCCAGCUUCUGCUUACCUAACAGUUCAGAAGCAACAAUGGAAAUUAUUGGCUGCAUCUCAACCAGAUUCCAUUGUAUGUUGAGAAAACACACCAACUGCCAUGAACUGCUACUUGACUAAGCCAAAUUAGAAGGAAAAAUACAGAUUGUAGAAGAGCACAGAAGAUACAUUUUCCUCAGAUCCUGGAGAAAAGAAGGUAUGAUAUAUAUCAAAUUGUCAACUCAGAACAAGGUAGAAGAAUUAACAGCUCCUAAAUGAAGGUGAAGAUAUAGACAAGAAUGGAUGGCGGUUUUUUUAAUUAUGUCAGAAGCAAAUUGAGAAUAUACUGCAAGUCACUUUGUGUGUGAGAGAAUUGGCCAUCUACAGGGACGUUUCCCAGGGGAUGCCCGGAUGUGUUACCAUCCUGUGGGAGACUUCUCUCAUAUCCCCGCAUGAGAAGCUGGGAUUGACACAUGGGAGCUCAUCCCUAUCUCGCGGAUUCAAACUGCCAACCUUCAUAUUUUCAGGUCAGCAGUUCAAUCGGCACAAGAAUUUAACCCACUGCGCCACUGCAUGGGUUGUGAUGUUUCUUCUCACCAAAAUCCAUGUAUCUAAAUACACUUUGUUUCUGCUUCCAGUG